rnacentral:sRNA from 1 species
GGGCUCACGCUGCUGGGAGCCCAUGGACCUCAGCCACGGCGGGCCCGGGGACAGACCUCCAGGAGGCCUGCUGGGGGAACAGAUCCGGCCUCCGUCCCACCACUUCUCCCCCGAGCAGCGGGCCCUGCUCUACGAGGACGCACUCUACACUGUCUUGCACCGCCUGGGUCAGCCUGAGCCCAACCAUGUGACGGAGGCCUCUGAGCUGCUGCGAUACCUGCAGGAGGCCUUCCACGUGGAGCCCGAGGAGCACCAGCAGAUGCUGCAGCGAGUCAGGGAGCUUGAGAAGCCAAUAUUUUGUCUGAAGGCAACAGUGAAACAGGCCAAGGGCAUUCUGGGCAAAGAUGUCAGUGGGUUCAGCGACCCCUACUGCCUGCUGGGCAUUGAGCAGGGGGUAGGUGUGCCGGGGGGCAGCCCCGGGUCCCGGCAGCGGCAGAAGGCUGUGGUGAGGCACACCAUCCCCGAGGAGGAGACCCACCGCACGCAGGUCAUCACCCAGACACUCAACCCCGUCUGGGACGAGACCUUCAUCCUGGAGUUUGAGGACAUCACCAAUGCGAGCUUUCAUCUGGACAUGUGGGACCUGGACACUGUGGAGUCUGUCCGACAGAAGCUUGGGGAGCUCACGGAUCUGCAUGGGCUUCGCAGGAUCUUUAAAGAGGCCCGGAAGGACAAAGGCCAGGACGACUUUCUGGGGAACGUGGUUCUGAGGCUACAGGUUCUGACGCUCACGGGCUGGGCAUCCCCGGCUGCCAGGACCUGCACUGCCGAGAGGACCAGUGGUACCCCCUGGAACCCCGCACUGAGACCUACCCAGACCGCGGCCAGUGCCACCUCCAGUUCCAACUCAUCCACAAGAGGAGAGCCACCUCGGCCAGCCGCUCGCAGCCCAGCUACACGGUGCACCUCCACCUCCUGCAGCAGCUUGUGUCCCACGAGGUCACCCAGCACGAGGUACUGCCCUCCCGGGGCUGGGCGCAGCCGGGGCUGCCCUUCAGGUCCUGACACUCCUCUACCUGCUCCCCUCAGGCAGGAAGCACCUCCUGGGAUGGGUCGCUGAGUCCCCAGGCUGCCACCAUCCUCUUUCUGCAUGCCACACAGAAGGACCUGUCCGACUUCCACCAG